AAUGAACGCUGGCGGCGUGCUUAACACAUGCAAGUCGAACGAGAAAGGCUGAUUUCGGUUGGCCGAGUAAAGUGGCGCACGGGUGAGUAACGCGUAGGUAACCUACCCUUGUAUCGGGGAUAACCCCGCGAAAGCGGUGCUAAUACCGGAUACGAUCCCGGGGCGGGAGUUUCGGGAUGAAAGUCGGCCUCUCGGAGAAGCUGACGUACGAGGAUGGGCCUGCGUCCUAUCAGCUGGUUGGUGGGGUAGCGGCCUACCAAGGCGACGACGGGUAGCUGGUCUGAGAGGAUGAUCAGCCACACUGGCACUGGAACACGGGCCAGACUCCUACGGGAGGCAGCAGUGAGGAAUUUUGCGCAAUGGCCGCAAGGCUGGCGCAGCAACGCCGCGUGGGUGAAGAAGGCCUUCGGGUCGUAAAGCCCUGUCAGGUGGGAAGAAAGGUCUUGAGUGAACGCUCGGGAUUUGACGGUACCACCAGAGGAAGCACCGGCUAACUCCGUGCCAGCAGCCGCCGUAAGAC
rnacentral:rRNA from 1 species